rnacentral:rRNA from 1 species
UGGGGAAUAUUGGACAAUGGGCGAAAGCCUGAUCCAGCCAUGCCGCGUGUGUGAAGAAGGUCUUCGGAUUGUAAAGCACUUUAAGUUGGGAGGAAGGGCCGUUACCUAAUACGUGAUUGUUUUGACGUUACCGACAGAAUAAGCACCGGCUAACUCUGUGCCAGCAGCCGCGGUAAUACAGAGGGUGCAAGCGUUAAUCGGAAUUACUGGGCGUAAAGCGCGCGUAGGUGGUUAGUUAAGUUGGAUGUGAAAUCCCCGGGCUCAACCUGGGAACUGCAUUCAAAACUGACUGACUAGAGUAUGGUAGAGGGUGGUGGAAUUUCCUGUGUAGCGGUGAAAUGCGUAGAUAUAGGAAGGAACACCAGUGGCGAAGGCGACCACCUGGACUGAUACUGACACUGAGGUGCGAAAGCGUGGGGAGCAAACAGGAUUAGAUACCCAAGUAGUCCCUGAGCGGGCUGGCAAGGCGCAU